UUAAAAUAAUACCCCAUGAGUUCAUGGCCCAUGGACACACCUCUAGGAGGGCUGUGAAAUGGAAGGAAUUUCACAAAACAACUUUUUGCCUGGGCGGCUGCUAUUUGUGAAAAUGAAAAGCCAAGAGAAAACUGUUUCUUGUGGAGAAGUCUCCAUGACAUGACAAGAGAAAAAUCCUCUCCCUACAAGAACUGAUGAAAGCUAUUUAGAUAAAAACUAUUCAUCUAAACUAUUGAAUAGGAUCACCAGGGCAGAGACUUGUGUGAUGACUGAACAGCAGUACAUCUUUGUGUGCAGGUGGGAUGCCACCUUUGAAGGGCUGCUCAGUGUCCUGGGACUCUGGUUUCUCUUGUGAUGUGUCAGAGGUUGCAAUAACUGAUCUCACAGGAGGAGUUUUUCUCGGGAAAGGAUGUGGUAAAGUCUUCUGGAUGAUGAAAGGAAUCACUGGAUCCCUUGAACAAAAGCCAGCUGGAUUAUGAAAAUCCCUGCAGAAAAUGAGAUUGCUCUCUCCUUUGGACACUAAUGGAAAGACAGAGAAGAAGCAAUCCCAGGCUUCCCUUGAGACAAAGUCAGGCAGGCUGCAGUAAGCUUGCUUUGUUCUGCUGGUCUAUUCAUCACUGAUGUCAAGAGCAUGACAGUCUUAACAAGGAUCAAAUGGUUUUCUCUACAAUCUGUUUCUCAGAUAAGGUCUCUGGGAAAAAAAUGGGGUGGAGAAGGACAAGGAAGGAGAAGAAAUUAAUGAGGGAAAUGCAGAAGGAGUCUUUUGUCACUGAUCAUGGAUACCAGAAGAGAUAGAGAUCCUUUUUAUUUUUUUCCCUCCAUUUUAAAGCUACAGCCUUAGGCAAGUUAUACCAAAAUUGGGUUAUUUUUGGCCCAGUGAACUAUGAUUCACUAUUAUAGCUAAGAAUUUUGAAAAAGACAGAAACAAUUGUUGAUUUUAAAUCCGCACGAUUUUCUUUUAUGGAUGUAGUUUAUUUUCUUGCUUGA